AAGUAGAGAGGAGACAUUUUUGGAACUGGCAGCAGUGGAGUGAUUCUUGUAUAGAUCGCACAACCAACGAGGAUGGAGGAGGAUCGGAGUCACAUGAAUGAGAAGAUACUAAACCUCACCCUGGAGAUCAUCUACCUGCUGACCGGAGAGAGAUUUCCUCUUGCGAAGUCAGGUGAUCAUA